CAGGGAUUGCCCUAGUAACGGCGAGUGAAGCGGCAACAGCUCAAAUUUGAAAUCUGGCGUCUUUGGCGUCCGAGUUGUAAUUUGCAGAGGGCGCUUUGGCAUUGGCAGCGGUCCAAGUUCCUUGGAACAGGACGUCACAGAGGGUGAGAAUACCGUACGUGGUCGCUAGCCUUUACCGUGUAAAGCCCCUUCGACGAGUCGAGUUGUUUGGGAAUGCAGCUCUAAAUGGGAGGUAAAUUUCUUCUAAAGCUAAAUACUGGCCAGAGACCGAUAGCGCACAAGUAGAGUGAUCGAAAGAUGAAAAGCACUUUGGAAAGAGAGUUAAAAAGCACGUGAAAUUGUUGAAAGGGAAGCGCUUGCAGCCAGACUUGCCUGUAGUUGCUCAUCCGGGUUUUUACCCGGUGCACUCUUCUAUAGGCAGGCCAGCAUCAGUUUGGGCGGUUGGAUAAAGGUCUCUGUCAUGUACCUCUCUUCGGGGAGAACUUAUAGGGGAGACGACAUGCAACCAGCCUGGACUGAGGUCCGCGCAUCUGCUAGGAUGCUGGCGUAAUGGCUGUAAGCGGCCCGUCUUGAAACACGGACCAAGGAGUCUAACAUCUAUGCGAGUGUUUGGGUGUCAAGCCCGAGCGCGUAAUGAAAGUGAACGGAGGUGGGAACCCCUCGGGGUGCACCAUCGACCGAUCCUGAUGUCUUCGGAUGGAUUUGAGUAAGAGCAUAGCUGUUGGGACCCGAAAGAUGGUGAACUAUGCUUGAAUAGGGUGAAGCCAGAGGAAACUCUGGUGGAGGCUCGCAGCGGUUCUGACGUGCAAAUCGAUCGUCAAAUUUGGGCAUAGGGGCGAAAGACUAAUCGAAC
rnacentral:rRNA from 1 species